rnacentral:misc_RNA from 1 species
GAUGAAGAACGCAGCGAAAUGCGAUACUUGGUGUGAAUUGCAGAAUCCCGUGAACCAUCGAGUCUUUGAACGCAAGUUGCGCCCGAAGCCAUCAGGUUGAGAGCACGUCUGCCUGGGCGUCACAUAUCGUUGCCCAAUGCCUAUUGCAGUGCAAUAGGAAUUUCUAGGGCGAAUGAUGGCUUCCCGUGAGCGUUGUUGCCUCGCGGUUGGUUGAAAAUCGAGUCCUUGGUAGGGUGUGCCAUGGUAGAUGGUGGUCGAGUUAGAACGAUACCGAUCAUGUGCAUGCUCCCCAAAAUAUGGCCUCUAUGACCCACACGCGUCUUUUGACGCUCAUGACGAGACCUCAGGUCAGGCGGGGCUACCCGCUGAAUUUAAGCAUAUCAAUAAGCGGAGGA